rnacentral:lncRNA from 1 species
UACAGGACUUGGUACCAGCUGACACACGUGGCUGACAGCAGCUGAUAAUGAAGCCUUUUCUCCCUGGUAAAGGUCCUGAACUACUUCAGUGAAGAAAAUGAACAGUGUCCACUACUCAAUAGAGGUCUCAUUCUAGAAGGAGAAAUAGAACAAAAAAUAAAAAGAGGAAAUUAUAUAUGAAAUCUCCAGAGUGGAGAAAGUUAGACAUUUUAGUCAAGGUCAUGAGGAAACACCUCAGUGAGAAGGGAUGGAAUGUGGCUGUCCAGGCAAGGAGCUUCUUAGGCAAUAGAAAAUCAGUCCUCUCCUGAACUGCAUCUGACUGAUAAUCUCAUAUAUUGACUUAAAAAUAGGGCACUUUCUUCAACUAGGAGACCUUUGCCAGAGCAUGUGAAGACCUUCUUGGCAAACACCAGCCAUGCUCACUUCUCACCAUCCCCCAGUGCCACCUACUCUCUGCUCAACACUCUCCAUGCCCCUCCCAGAGCCAUUGAUCCCGUUCCACCAGAAGAUCACAUCUUAGAAAUGCCCCAGACAUCGUUGGACAUUUCUUCAUGCUUCAUGAGCUUCAAAAUCUUUUAAAAAUUUAAUGCGCUUAUGAAUCUCUAACAAGCUCCUAAAUAACUUGUAUGCUAUUGUUAAAAAACUCCAAAUAUUAAUAAGUAUUAGUAAAAUGUUGCUGUUAAUAGUAAAUCAGCUAAGCGUCAAAAUGCUACCUGGAAAAGCAAGCAGAAUAGACAUUCCAAUGUUAAAGGGCAUCAAGAGCAAGACUCUUAAAGAGCCUAUGAAAUCAUUUAAGUGUGAGAUAAAAAGGUUGGGAAUUUCAUACAUAUUUAGCAUUGCCUGAGAAAUGUCUCUAAGUUUUUCUUUUUUCACUCUAGAAUAUUACCAAAGUUGCAGUUAAUUACAUUUCUGCUGCUACAAAAACAUUUUUUCAUGCCUCAGUGAUUCAUGAAUCUUCCAUUGUGUGUAUUAGGCAGCAGCUCUUGUAGACAAUGACAGAGAAUAAAAUGCUUCCAGAGGAAACACGAUUCAGGUGUCUGUUUUUGGGUUAUGCGGUGUCAGAUUGGUCCCAUUGUGCUUCAGAGAGCAUUUGUUAUUUUGUGAUAUGGCUACAGACAGGUUUAAGAUCCAGAUCAUCAUCUUACUUCAAAGAGUGUGAAUAAAUGAUUCAAGAAAGAAAAAUAAGAAUGGAGUAUUUGGAUAACAAUAUAUUCUCAAUUUAAAACGGUUUAUGAAGGGAACAAACAUACCAUGCAAAUGAGAAGCAGUUUUAGAAGGGGAAGUGUUGUGCUUCAUCACAACUAAUUAUUACUUGAAUAUUUAUUAGUAGUAUGAGAAACUAAAUGUCUAUGGCCAUACCACCCUGAACGUGCCGGAUCUCAUCUGAAAAGGAAAAAAUAGCUUCUACUUUCAAUGGUGAGAUAUAAACAAAAGUUCUCUUUCAUUACGCUUAACAAAAAAUGUGCAUCUUUAAAUUUUUUUUUUUUUUUUUGAGAUGGAGUCAUGCCCUGUCACCCAGGCUGGAGUGUAGUGGCCCGAUCUCAGCUCACUGCAAGCUCUGCCUCCCAGGUUCAUGUGAUUCUCCUGCCUCAACCUCCCCAGUAGCUGGGACUACAAAUGCACACCACCAUGCCCUGUUA